AAUUGAGAGCCAAUUAACCAAAGAUGACCUGGAAAACAAAAAAAAAAUUUCGGAUGNUUUUUUAUGAAUCAAAUUUGACGAUAUUUAAAAAAGAAUUACUAAAAAAAGAGAAGAAAAAUAAUGAAAGAGAGAAGGAAAAAGGAUGGAAAAUAUGUAGGGAAACAACUCCUUUUUACUCCCUCCGUCCGCCAAAAGUAGACCACUUUGGUUGGGCACGAGAUUUAUAAAAUUGGUGAUGAUUUUGAUGUAGUGGAGAAAGGGUCCCACCACUUUAUGAGAUGUGUGGUUGAGAUUGAAUUUGAGGUGGGUUUUUUUUGUAAAUAAAGAGUGUUUGUAAGGAUAAAAGAUUAAAGUGGGUGGUGGGACCAUUUCCAUAAGAGGAAAGUGGUCUACUCUUUGCGGACGCUUAAUAUAGUAAAAGUGUCUACUUAUUACAUAGAUUAUUGCCCCUUGCCUAAUUUCCAAAUUAUCUACUCUAACAACAAAAUUAAUCCAAACUAUUAUCUUUAUUACGUUCUUUUGUAAAGAACAACUUGUCAUUCUUUUUUGCUUGCGCUAAUUUUUGCUCACAAAUUGAAAAUAUUGGACGCAGAAAAUCAAUUUGAAGAGAAUUAAAAUUAAAAAUUUUCAACACAAAAAGUGUUUAAAAACUCAAUAUAAUAAAAAUAUAAAGUAUAUAAUAAAAGUGCUACAAGAAAUUUUAGAUGAAGUUAUAAAGCUAGAAGCUACUUAACUUUUUAAACAAAUCCAAACAUGACCAGAUACCACAAACAUAAUCAUGGUUUGAUUACAUUUUGAUGAACAUAACACGGCUUAAUUUUUUCAGUGAAAGAAAUAACUAUCCAAGCCGAAUAUUUCCAUAGAUAGAUCAGAUGGUCUUUCUUCUUGAAGUUUAUUACUGCUCUUUUGAUUAGUUAUCUAAUGGAUAUCCAAUAUCCAUGUAAUAUUUGCGCACUGCUUUUCUGUACUCUGCAAUCAGAAUUUGUAAAAGCCACGUUUUCCAAUACCACGCACCAUUGGAUCGAGUUCAAGAAAAAAAUGCAAAUUCUACGAACUUCUUGGUUCUUCCAGAGCAAAGCAGUAGACACAUUGAGAGGGCUCUGAGUAUUGGGUUCUGCUCAUUACAACGCGAGCAUAAGAAAAACUAUUACAUAAAUACAUACAAAAGAGCUCCUAAUAGUGAGACAAAAGAGCUCCUAAUAGCUCAUAAAUACAUACAAAAGAGCCAGUAGAAAAAGUGAGACAACAACGCCAUCUGACCUCCUAAUAGGCUCUGGAUGGACAAGAGAAUCGUUCUGCAAUCAUAUGCUGAACACCACUUAUCCUGCAACAACAAAAUUCAAGUCAUAAAAGUUGGGAUGAAGCAAAAGAAUCUGAAAUAUUUUGACAUGGAUGCAGAAAAGCAAAUGAGAAGGUGAGAAUGACAAUACAAGGCUAAUUACUUGAAGAAUGCCCAAACAAAUAUUCCCAAAUUGGUCGACAUUUGAAUGGAAGCAUCAAGCAUGUAGUCUCAAACGUGACUUGAGAAAGGCUAAUCUAGAUUCUAGUGGAAAGCACAACCAAAGUUUGUAAGACGGACCGUCAUGGUUCAUUUGCCGCCUUAAAUUCUGCAAGUCCACGUAAAUAUGCUCCCCCUGUCAGGAAAGGCAGAUGCUCCCAGAUCUCCACCACUCAUCUAUGUUACUCCUAUAAAUCAGAGACACCAUUUAAAUACUGUAAAAAACAACUAACCGAGCACCACUAUGUCUUCUUGACAUUACAGAUUGUUAAACAUCAACUCAUGAAGAAAUGAGUGCAACACAUCAACUCCACUGCCUUACCUCAAGUAAGGCCAAUACUUUUUCAUUCCAAACGAUACGCAAUCGAAUAUAUUUGGGAUUAUAUUUGUUACAUAAAAUAUAAAGCACAGAUCUAAACGGUGCAAUAAUAUCAAGAAAAAGCACAGAUCUAAUUCAAUUACGAAAUGAAAGAAAAUAAUAUUUAUACGAAACCACGAAAAACCAAAACUAAUAUCAGAAAAACACAGAUCAAAUCCAAUUACAAAAUGCAAAAAUAACAGAGUACCAUGUUUGUGAAUUUCAAUUCAUCCUAUUCCAUUAUAUUAUACUAUAAGCAGGGUAAUCCUAUAAGCAUCAUUAUAUUCCAUUAUGUUAUUCCAUCAUAAUAUCUAUUCCAUUAUAUUCAUACUAUAAGUAUCCAUUAUAUUAUACUAUAAGCAGGGUAAUCCUUAGAUGGAAGUAUAUGUACUAUAUGCGUACUCACAUAAUGGAAAAAAUAAAUCAUUAACAUAAUUAAUCGAGGCUGCAACAGCAAUAUCCUUUUCUCUUUAAAUUUUAGUUCUUUUUAUGCGAUUCCACUCAACUAUCACCUCGAAUUUUGCAGUUUUUUCCCUACUAUAUAUAUAUCAGCCAGUGUUUGUCACUCACCUCCAACAAUAUAUAUUUCUCAGCACUAAUACAAAAUCAAAAACACGAAACAACUUACAUGAAUAAUGAUGAAAAUAUCAUAUUAAUCAACAAAAUCUGAAAGAACAAACCUCAAAAAUUGAGAGCCAAUUAACCAAAGAUGACCUGGAAAACAAAAAAAAGAAUUUCGGAUGGUAUGCGUGGAAACCAUUUCCCAAAAAUUUAUAGUUGAAAAGACAGGGUAUAAUUAACGAUUGAGAAGCUUAUGUUAGACUUUUUACCUUCAUUGGGGGCAUUAAUCAAUGAGAAUCAAGAGGUGAUUGAGGUAGAGUUCAUGGAAACGAUUAAGGAGAAUGGAGAAUCGAGAGGCAAAUGACAGAGAUCUUGUGAGAAGCCAGCCACCAUCAUAAUAGAAACAUUGAUUUGGAGAUGGUAAGGACCUGAUUAUUGAAUUCCAUUGAUUAUGGUGAAACGCUUUCCAUUGAUUGUGGUGAAACACAACUGAGAUUUGAGUGAGGGGAUUAUAAUGGAAAUGUUGAAGAAGAUAUUAAGGAAUUUUGAGGA
rnacentral:lncRNA from 1 species